AGUGAACGCUGGCGGUAGGCCUAACACAUGCAAGUCGAACGGCAGCACAGUAAGAGCUUGCUCUUACGGGUGGCGAGUGGCGGACGGGUGAGGAAUACAUCGGAAUCUACUUUUUCGUGGGGGAUAACGUAGGGAAACUUACGCUAAUACCGCAUACGACCUACGGGUGAAAGCAGGGGAUCUUCGGACCUUGCGCGAUUGAAUGAGCCGAUGUCGGAUUAGCUAGUUGGCGGGGUAAAGGCCCACCAAGGCGACGAUCCGUAGCUGGUCUGAGAGGAUGAUCAGCCACAAUGGAACUGAGACACGGUCCAGAGUCCUAAGGGAGGCAGCAGUGGGGAAUAUUGGACAAUGGGCGCAAGCCUGAUCAAGCCAUACCGCGUGGGUGAAGAAGGCCUUCGGGUUGUAAAGACCUUUUGUUGGGAAAGAAAAGCAGCAGGUUAAUACCCCGCUGUUCUGACGGUACCCAAAGAAUAAGCACCGGCUAACUUAGUG
rnacentral:rRNA from 1 species